rnacentral:rRNA from 1 species
CCUACGGGGGGCUGCAGUAAGGAAUAUUGGUCAAUGGGCGCAAGCCUGAACCAGCCAUGCCGCGUGCAGGAAGACGGCCUAUGGGUUGUAAACUGCUUUUUGGAUAUCUCAGGUACCCGAAGAAUAAGGAUCGGCUAACUCCGUGCCAGCAGCCGCGGUAAUACGGAGGAUCCAAGCGUUAUCCGGAUUUAUUGGGUUUAAAGGGUGCGUAGGCGGUUUAUUAAGUCAGUGGUGAAAGCCCGGAGCUCAACUUCGGAACUGCCAUUGAUACUGAUAGACUUGAGUACAGAUGAAGUGGGCGGAAUGUGACAAGUAGCGGUGAAAUGCUUAGAUAUGUCACAGAACACCGAUUGCGAAGGCAGCUCACUAAAGUGUACUGACGCUGAGGCACGAAAGCGUGGGGAUCAAACAGGAUUAGAUACCCUUGUAGUC